GACGAAGGGGGCUAGCGUUGUUCGGAAUUACUGGGCGUAAAGCGCACGCAGGUGGCUGAGUCAGUCGAUUGUGAAAGCCCUGGGCUUAACCUGGGAAUUGCAGUCGAUACUACUCAGCUAGAGUAUGGGAGAGGGUAGGUGGAAUUCCCGGUGUAGCGGUGAAAUGCGUAGAUAUCGGGAGGAACAUCAGUGGCGAAGGCGGC
rnacentral:rRNA from 1 species